rnacentral:lncRNA from 1 species
CUCUCUUAUGUUUUAUAAAUCAAUUCUCUUAAAUGUGAAGGAAUGUUACAUCAUAUAGUGAGAUUGUUUUCGACUUUCAAAUUUCACACGACUAAUUUGCUCGUUGGGUUAAUUAGAGCAAGUGUCCCACAAUCGCUUGUCACGCAUUUGAAAGGUUGCAAUUGUGACAAGUGGUAUCAAAGCUUUGUUGGCUCCAUGGCUAAAUAAGACAUAACCAUGUUGGCAUUGAAAUAGCCGUCAAAGUUGCAGUUUGAGUGCCUAACCAAGAUCGAAGACCAAUUCUUGAAUAUAAGAGAAUUGCUAGACAAACUGUGAUUUCUUCAAACUCGGUUGGAUGGGUUGGAUGAAAAGUUUGAAGGAUUAGACACACUAAAUGCCCAAAUAGAUGAACUGCCAAUAAAUGAAUUAACGUUGAGGGUUGAUUCGCUAGAACAUAAAGUUGCUCAAGAGGGUAGUUUUGAGCGGGGAGGUGACUCUAUGAGCUCUGUCGCACAUAUAGAAGAGUGUGUGGAAGAACUUGAUUGUUCCCAGAAGACAAUGUUAAAGUUUCAAAUGACUUUUAAGUGACUAUAAAGACAAUUAAGGUUGAGAUGGUCGAGAUGAAGAUACAAGUGAAUUUAACAACGCAAGCACCGAUCUUGAAACCUAAAGCCUUCAAUGAGAAUCAUGGUUGACACACAAACUUGGUUGGUGUUUUUUUGGGACUUAGUUGUUUUGCCUUUGUAUAAUGUGAUUGCAAUACGUCACGAAGUAGGUUCAUCGCGCAUAAGAUGUUCACCUUAUUUUUUUGUAUUGUGUGAUUAAUUCUAUGCGAUAAGUCAUGGGUCAUGAUCAUGCUCACUAUGUACAUGUUCAUCGCGUAAUAUCUAAGUCCUCGUUGAGUAAAAGUUUUUCUACUGUUCACCCAAGUGCAAGCAAACAACAGGUUUACCUAGAUGAUCCAAGGUCGAACACAAGGAAUUGGUUCAAAACAUUAGUUCUAGACUCUACUUAUCAUUUAGGCGUUAUGACGAUGAAGUUAAAAGAAUAAUAAAAUAACUAAAAUUACUUACUUAUACCUAGAGACUCAUGCACAGGAGAAUAAAUUAUGGCAAGAUGGAAGAUUGAACGAACUAACUUGCGUAAGGAAGGCGACGAAGGAAGGUCUCAUGUUAUCAUGCGAUUAAACUAUAUGACCACCUCAAUGUGAUAUAACUCACCUAGUUAUCUUAUGAUUAAGGCAUGCACCUCUCAGAGUCAUUAAACGCCACACUUGGUCUCAUUUUGGGAUCCAAAUGACUAAGGCUAGCUAAAUGGUUUAUAUCUAGUACUACUUAUUUAUUUUACUUAGAGUGCUUUGCAUUUAAGGACAACAACUUCUUAGUAUCUUAGUUCACACUUGUUCACCUUUCGAGAUACAAAUGGAGGAAGUCAUCUCGCAAGGUUGAGAAAACUCUUCCUUCUGUGUAUUAGCCAUGUCCUUGCUACUCACCCUCUCGGGUAGUUGACGACAUACAUUGGCCAAGUGUAGAAUGUAGCUCAGCUAAUACACUAAGCGGUAUAAAUAAAUAUUACUUAUUGAGAACAAAUCAUAAACCUAAACUACGAAUAACACAAAGACAAAUGAAGAGUAGAGGCAUGGAUGGAUUGAAAAGUAUGAAAAGAUACAUUGUAUUAAAGAAUGAAGGUCUUCGGCCAAUGUACAAUAUAACUAAAUACAAUGUAAAGAAAUAGUAAAAAUGAAAAGAGGAAGAAAAUGAAAUACAAGUUAAGGGGAACGGGAGAUGGACUCAUCUCCUCUCAAACUCUAAGCUUUCAUGUUACAAGCUGGUUGGAGAAGAAGAAUGAAUGUUGUACAAACGGUGGUGAGGCUAAUCCUAACCACCAAUUCUCUAGGUUUUCUUGUCUAUUCGAACCUCAAAUGGCCCAUGUAGGCCUCUUCUUGUCUUUGUGGGGAUGAAAUGCUUUUAUAGGCAGAUUUUAGACGAAAAACUUCUAUUCCUUCGAGAUUGUCAGUGCUGACUUUGGUCCUGUGAGGUCACAUCACUCCAACUACUAUUCUUGUCCUUUAGUCAGUCUUCCUCAAAUGAUGAUGUGGUUCCUCGUCUAGAAAUGUUAAUCGCUCGAUGAGCUCUUAUCGCGUAACCCUUGGCAAGAUGUCUCUUGCGAUUCACUAGUUUCUUUCUUUGUUCAUUAUUCUGCGUUUAGACAUGUCAAUCUCAUAAAACAGGCAUGAUACUUAUGUAAGAUGUAUUUCUAAAUACUUAUGUAUUUACAACGUAAGUUAUGCAUUCUCGUUAUACGUUUUAACCUUAUUAUUCUAAUAAAAGAUGUUAUAAUAAACAGGUAUUUAUACAUGUUAUCAGAAUUGUGAUGCUAAAGAGCUUGAAAUUUCAUUUUUGAUAUGGAACAAUACUUUAAGACAAGUGGAACCAUCUUUAGAGAAACUAAGGUGACAUUACCCUCCCAUGCAUUUGUCUGAUGAUGCAAAACUCUGGUGGAGGCCGAAAGUGAACGACAUCUAGAAUGGUCAUUGCACCAUUGAUACUGGGGAAGACCAUAAGAAAGAACUAAGUGCUCAAUUCUUUCAUGAGAAUGUUGAAUUUAUUGCAAUAAGGAAACUGCCUAAAGUUAGACACACAAGAACCAUCAAGGACUACGUUAAACAGUUUUUCGUUGUUAUGUUGGACAUUUAAGACAUGUCCAAAAAGGAUAAAGUAUUCUUCUUUAUAAAAGGGCUCAAGUUGUGGCCUAGGAUUAAAUUAUACGAAAAAAAAGUUCAAGAUCUUGCAUUUGCUCUUGUUGUCUCAAAGAUAUUGUUAGAUUAUAGUAGCAACCAAAGAUCUCAAAAGAAAAUUGCUCUAACACUGAAUUUUAGGGCAAGGCCUCCAAGCCUAAUCCUCCAGAACUUCAGAAACAACAAGAAACCGCAAAUCGCAAAUAUUGGUACUCCUCAAAGAUCAUAUCAAUCAAGUUUGAUUAAGACAAAGCCCAUUUUCAGUUUUUUAUUCAAUGGCCCCCAUUGAGUACCCAGGUGGUCAUAUCGAGCUUUGUUGACAGUGCUACAAGCCUUGGUGCAAUAUUCUAAUGGUUCAAAGGCAUAAAUGGAAGUUAACAAAGAGGACGAUGAGGAGACUCCUUGAAUUGGUGCAUUAAAUUAUUGUAAGCAAUUAGAAGAAAGUUUCUUACCAAAAUGAUGCUUUAGAGAGGGGACUUAUGCUUGUCAAUGCAUUCAUCAACUCUAAAUUGUGGUAGAUUUAGGUGCAACUCAUAAUUUCAUUUUGGAACACAAAGCUCGUUGAUUGAAGUUGAAAAUUGAGAGAGGUACUAACAAGAUGAAAGUUGUUAACUUCGAAGCAUUACUAAUUGUCGAGUUACUGAAGAUGAUAUCUCUAAAAUUAGGCCAAUGGAUAGGAGAUGUUGAUUUUUUCAUGGUUCGUAUAGAUGACUUCGAUGUCGUACUUGGAAUGGAGUUCCUUUUGAAACACAGAGUGUCACACCCUAAACCACAAUUCGACUAAAACAUCGAAGUAAUAGGAAUAGAAUGCGAUUUAGUUACAACCUUGAAAUUUUCUUAUCGACUAAUUCAACCUCAAUUCCUUUUAAACUACCAAGAGAAAACAUAAUGCAACAGAAGUCGUACCGAACGCCAAACACAUUCAAAGACAUUCUUGAAGCAAAAAACUUAACGAUAUCAAUUCAACAAAAACUUACACUUUAUUAAUAACAGGUGUUUAGAUGAACAUAACUUACAACACUUUGACCUAAAGUUACAUUAAAUAAACUCUUAAAUGCCUAGUAGUUUUCUUCUCUUGCCACAAAUCUUUCAAUCUUCUUCUCUACUUGGCCUAAACACCUGAUCCUGGAAGAUAAAUUUUGAAAACGUCAGUCGAAAGACUCAGUGAGGUUUUAUGAAAACCUUUCGCAAUAUCUUUUCAUAAUCUUUUCGCAAAAAUAAUAUCAAGUCAUUUAAACACACCAACGAAUAAUUUCAUUUUUCACAUAAACCUUUCUUUAUGCUUAACAAAUCAUCUCACAACCAUUUCAUUUUGCCAAGGAUCCUGAAUCACACUCUACUCUAGGUCAUGUAACUUCACGUUUAAACUAUUGAAUUAUCAACAUCCGAGAGUAUCGUGGUUCAUCCUUGUUGUUCAGACUACUAAGCAUUAUACGCUCAUUUCAACGCAUAAGUCAACUUCAUCACCACGUAGUUCCGUACACUCAUGGUGGCCUUUAACUCUUUAUGUGCACAUAAAAGUUAGCUUAUUCAAAAGAAGUAACUAAUGGUUUGAAAACUAUAUCAUAAACAUUAAGAUCAAAUCAUGCUUUGAACAUCAUAACACUUUUUCAUAUAAAUCUCUUUUAGAAAUCAUUUUGAAUUGAAAUCAUUAACUCAAAUCAAUAGAGAUUUAUAAGAAAAUAUUUGGCAUAAAAUAUUAAGGAAAACACUCACAAAACUUUGAAAGAAAAGUACUCACUUUUCAACUUUCCUCUUCUCGCCAAGUUUUCUCGUGGAGACCGCGUGGAAACACUUUAGCAUUUCAACAAAACUCCCAUCAUCCCUACUUAGUUAACCAAGUCCUCCAUUUAUAAUACUCUUUUAAUAUGGAUUAGUCACCCUUGGUUCUUUAUCCGAUUGCUAGUUUCUACUUCAACCUUGUAAAAUUUCUAUUUAUUUUAGUCAUGCUUAAAACCUUAAUCUUACACGUUAACCCUUUAUCAAAUCAGAUUUGACAUCUUCUAGCCAAACCUCUCUUCUCGCCUAAUACCAUUCCACGAAUAACUUCAACCAUUUAACAACAUACCAAGGUUUUAUCAUAUAACUUCUUUUGCGAACUACCAACUUUUUUUGCGAAGACUUUUUCUUUUGUGAGCGUUUAAACUUAGAGGUCUUACCACAAAUCCUUCUCGCGGACUUCCUUACCUUAAGCUCUUGACACGUACUCAAACUAAAAUGUCUUCUUGUCCAAAACGCUAAGUUACAUACUUAGUCAAAAAAUUUCCUUUUAACUUUUAAUUUAUGUUCAGGUCUUAAAAAAUUCGCUACAAAGGGAAUUCUUUGUUUUCUAGGUUUUCCACCUUAACAUUUGACAAUAGGAGGUAAUAUUUUCAUGACAUCAUCUUCAACUCUCUAAUCUAAACGAAUUCAACAAAUCGAACACAACCACUAUAUGUUGCUGAUAUUGGUUCUUUAUAACAAAACUUAGUUGCGUAAGAAUAAAUAUCUAAAUUAAGCAUUUAGAACAACAAGAGUACGUGCACAUGAAGUUUCCUCAAAGUCCUAUACUCGACAACUACAAGAUCCUAGGUCUAGCUUCACUGAGAAGUCUUCAUUUCUAUCCAUUGCCUUGUAUUUAGUGUUACUAAUGCGAUCAACCAAAUAGAUAAGAUAAGUUAGAGAGAAGUAAUAAGUACGUGCAAUUUAUUUGUUCCUAUUUGUGAUACACACCCAUGAACCAUAAAAAUAAGAAGAAAAAAACAAAAUUCUUACUAAGAAACUUAUUGACCUUUUGUGUUCUUUUUCGUAAUAUGCAUAUAUCUUUGUCUAUCUGUGAUUUUGUAAUAGAAAGAGAUAAAACUCACAAAUAGCUAGAUAGACAAAGAUAAGUAUCUCUAUCCACAUUUCAUUAUAGAAUUAGAUGAAGAAAAAGGGAUAAACCAAAAUGUACACCGAUUUUUAUCUAUUUAUGUCCACAAUUCAUUGAAAAAGAAGACUACAAAGAUUGAUGCAUAAUGUUUUCGCUCAUUUUUCCCUUAUAUAUUGAGUUUUUGCCUAUUUUUUCUUUCUUUUUUUUCUUUUUAUGCUCAUGCCUCACAUUUUCUAGCAAGCUUGGCUUUGUUUUGCCACUAUUAUCUUUCUUUGGUUUUAUUUCUUUUGCUAUUGCUAGGCUUCCAUUUUUUUUCGGCUUGGCUUUUCUCUAUUCUAGUAUUGACCUAAAAACAAGAUGGGACAAUCGACCUUUCGAGGUGACAACAAAAAUAUAAGUAUAAGAUUACCUUUUCUAAAAAUCGAAAACUCAAAAUGACUUGAUGAAAGUAUUAAGAAAUGCAUGAGAUAUCAAAAGAUUUUUUUAAAAGAAAAAAGUGGUCAGGAUCAUGAGUUCUCUCUUCCUACUUGAGAUAAUGCAAGUUUAAACAAGAAAAGUGUAUCACCAACCAUCAUCAUAGUAAAGAACCAACUAACAAGAGAGAACAUUCAUGCAAUCAAUGAUUCAUAAAUUCAUAUUUUUCAAUCAUGCAUUCAAUCAUUGUAAAAUCACCAAUCCAAGCUCACGUACUUAAUGACUAUCCAAAAAUGCACGAAUUCAUCCUAAAAGUACAACUUAAUAUGACAUAUCUAAAGCAAGUUUUUUUAAAAAGAAAUUGGCAAAAAUGCAAACAAACUAAACCCUAACACCUCCAACUUUCAAAGCAUGUUUUGUCCAAAAAAGCAUCAGAUUUAAUAUCAAAGUAGAAGAACAAACAAAAGGGAACAUAAUACUUCCCUAGCUUAGGAGGUGUGUGCUUAGGUUGAGCUUGACUUGACAUCCAACAGCUUUAUUUCUUCCAGUGAAUCAAAUGAUUCAAAAUUUCUCUCAAUUAUUUUCAAACUAAAAUUUGAAAAGAAAAAGAAAAUCCAAAACUAAGAUAGCAUUUAAUAAAUAUAAUUUCAACUCAAUAAUAUAAAAUAUGAGCAAAUAAGCAAUAUAGAACUUAAAACCAAGAUUAAAUGAGUUACGUUGCUAAAAGGUAGAAGCAUGACAGUUGGAAGAUUCACUACAAGAAAAACUACCUACUAUGACAGUUGUAUACAUCUCAAAUAAAAAGGAGGAAACAAAAAACUGUCACAAAAGCUAAAAAUCAACGUUUUUGAUAGGAAAAGACGGAAUUUUUCGAAUUUUACUCGCGACAGAAAAUAACUAUCGUCGUAGACCAUUUUUGUUGGAGUGAUUGAUGAAAAAGGAAAGGCCAUUGUGGUUGAUCUACCUUUGAGCGUAGAGUCUAGGAAAGGUCAUUGUGCUUGGUCAGUGGUAAUACACGGGUUCAUUUCCACUAUUUUUCAUAUUUGUCGAUGCUCUCAAACUUCAAUUUGGCUUGUUUCUCUUUCGUUUCGACUCCGCCAAUCCGCUCUACCUCUUCAUUUCUCAAUACUUACAAAAUAGCAUAAUAAACACAAAAAAUCCAAUAACAACCCUCGAAUUAAGCUCAAGAAAUUAGUGCAUUUCAAGUGCUAACUUAACUAUCUACCCUAGAUAUCAACAUUAAUUUAGUACCAAACUCAAUACUAUGUUAUUUAUAUAAUUUUUUCAAAAAUAAAUACGAUGAGCUAGAUAUAUUUUUCUAAAAGUUCAAACGUUAAAACAUAUAUUUCGAAAAACUAUCUCUAAAGUUUUCAAAUUUUGAUGAAUAUAUGUGUUCGAUCUUUAAAUUUAAAAACGAUAUCUUUUUAGUUCUUUAAAUUUAUAAGAAUAAAUACAUUUAAUCUUUUAAUUUUGAAAUUGAAUCUUUUUAAUUCUUUAAAUUUAUAAGAAGAAAUUCGUUUAAUCUUUUAAUUUUCAAAUUGAAGUAUUUUUUUUGUUUGAUUUUUUAAUAUAGUAUUUCAAAUAUAUAUAAAAAAAUAGUUUUAUAGAAGAUGGGAGUUUUAGAAUUUAUUAUUCUAAUUUAAAAUGUUAUAUUAUUAUUUAAAAGUAAAAUUAUACGCGGAAUGUUAAAAACAGUAGGACUAAAAAUAUUUAUAUUGAAAUGCACACAUUGUUUUUAAUUUUCUUCUUAUAUUUUAAAUGUGAGGAGAUUAAAAUAGAAUAAAAUAUAAAAGUUAGAACAAUUAGAAAAAAUACAUUUAUAGGUAUUAGAAAAAAUACAUUUGUAUAGUUGGAGGAUAAAAAUUAAAUCUAAAAUUAUUUAAUUGAGAAAAGAUAUAUGUAUGAAAGAAAUAAAAAUAAAAAAAAUAAAAAAGAAGAGAAAGGAAGAGGCAAAGACAUGAGUCCGGCCACCGCUAAUUGGACCAAAGAAUCGGUGGAAGUAAACUCGUUUACGAUGAUGAUGGCGUAAUUGAAAGAAAUAUGAUCAAAAUCACAAUCAUAAACAACACCACCAACUCUCAUUCCUCAUAAGCAUAGAGAUAAACCUCUUUCUCUUUUUCUUCUCUUAAUCUCAAUUACCCACUUUCCUUCUUCUCAUGAUCUUCGAUCUUUUGCUCUGUGCUUGACGCCAUCGCCCCAAUAUCAACACAUUUUUUUUUUCUCUUUCUUCAACUCUUGGAACCCCCAACACUUGAUACAAACCCCCAUUCGCCUCUUUUUAGGUGUUUCCAGGUACUUAAUUCCUUUCUUGUUUAUUGGUUGCUUCGAUUUUUUUUUUUUUUUUAUUAUGGGGGUGAAUUGAUUUUUUCUUUAGGGAUACAUUUUGCUGAGGGGAAACUGGAUUCUGGGUCUAUCUCAGUUCUCCUUUUGAUUCUAUGGAACGUGUGGGAAAAUGUGGUGAAUUUUGUUUUGCUGGAAAAUUAACCCUUGUGUUGAUGUUGUUGUCUGAGUAGAGCUUUUGAUUUUCUUGCUUAUGGGACUUCCAUUAUGUCGAAAUUUGGGGGGGAGGGAGGGGGGGCUUUGGGGGUGGAAACAACGGCUUUAAAUUAUUGCAAACCUUUAAUCAUUGCUGUUGUUCCUUACAGAUUUUACUUGACCAUGCGGUAAUGGAGCUCCUCACCAGGAUGAUUAAGUUUAUAUGCACUUCAAAAUUUAAGCUCUUAGAAUCGUGGAGAUUCAAACUGUCUUGGACGAAGUUGGAAGAAUGCCUAUGAAUUUUUUUCCCUCUGAAUUAAAUAGGAAUGUGCAUAGAUGAAAAAGGCAUACUUGAAAGACUUUUACUAUAAAAAUAAAGAGUAACCUGGAGAAAAAAACAGAUGGAAGAAUUUUCUAAAUAUGCUCAUAGUCCCGCUCAUUUAGCAGUUGUACGUCGAGACUAUGUUGCUCUUAGAUUCAUUGUCUCCACGCUACCACGACUAGCCAAGGCAGGUGAGGUCAACACCGAAGCAGAAUCAAUUGCAGCAGAGCUACAAGCUGAUGCUUUGUCUGCUGUUAUUGAUCGACGUGAUGUUCCAGGACGUGAGACACCUCUCCACCUUGCAGUACGACUUUGCGACCCAAUUUCUGCAGAGAUUUUGAUGGCUGCUGGAGCAGAUUGGAGCCUUCAGAAUGAGUAUGGUUGGAGUGCUCUUCAGGAGGCAGUUUGCAGUAGAGAGGAUACAAUAGCUACGAUUAUUGCACGGUACUAUCAGCCUCUGGCUUGGGCAAAGUGGUGUCGUAGGCUUCCUCGCAUUGUUGCUUCAGCAGGUCGGAUACGUGAUUUUUAUAUGGAAAUGACAUUUCAUUUUGAGAGCUCUGUAAUUCCAUUUAUUGGACGAAUAGCUCCAUCUGAUACAUACCGGAUUUGGAAGCGUGGUCCCAACCUUCGUGCAGAUAUGACCCUAGCUGGUUUUGAUGGUUUUCGAAUACAACGAUCUGACCAGACAUUUCUCUUUCUUGGAGAAGGCUACUCAUCGGAUGAUAAAGUCCUUACUUUGCCACCUGGUUCUUUGAUCAUUCUUACCCACAAAGAGAAGGAAAUUACAAAUGCUCUGGAAGGAGCUGGUGCACAACCAACUGAUGCCGAAGUUGCUCACGAAGUGGAUUUAAUGUCAAGGACAAAUAUGUAUAGACCAGGCAUUGAUGUAACUCAGGCUGAGUUGCUUCCUCAUUUAAAUUGGCGACGUCAAGAAAGGACUGAGGUGGUUGGAAAUUGGAAAGCAAAAAUAUAUGACAUGCUUCAUGUAAUGGUGAGUGUGAAAUCAAGGCGGGUUCCUGGAGCUAUGACUGACGAAGAGCUAUUUGCUGCUGAUGAUGAAGAUAGAGUAGCCCGUGUUGGUGAACGUGAUGAAUACGACGAUAUAUUAACAGUUGAGGAGAGAAAGCAAUUGGAUUCAGCGCUUCAUAUGGAGAACUCAGAUACCCAUCUUGAAUAUGAGGAGCAAGGGGUUAUAGUUAGUCAGGAAAAUGCAUCCAUAGGUUCCUGUGAUAGUUUUGAGUCCAAUGGUGUUGCAAAGGAAAAGAAGAGCUGGUUUAGUUGGAACAAGAAAACUGCAAGGAGUAACAGUGAUGAGCCAGAUGAUUCAAAGGUCUUGAAGAAAUCUGCAAAGUCAGCCCCAGAAGGUAGCGAUCAUAAAGUAGUCGAGCCUCCAAAUUCUUCUGAUUUGUCUUUUGAAGAUACGAGGGAUAAUACCAAGAAGGGAAAAGAUAAAAGUAGUAAGAAAAAGAAGAAGAAAGGAGCCACUAGUGAAUCUAAAGGUGAGAGUGAGUACAAAAAGAGUUUGAGACCAGUCUUGUGGUUGACACAAGAUUUCCCAUUAAAAACUGACGAGCUCCUGCCUUUGCUUGACAUUCUUGCUAACAAGGUGAAGGCUAUUAGGAGAUUAAGGGAACUUCUAACUACCAAGUUGCCUCCUGGUACAUUUCCUGUGAAGGUAAGACCUAUAAACUAGGCACUUGUCUGAUUUACCCUAUGCUAAAUUGUUAUUAUGCUUUUCUUUGUCUUAGUUAACUCUGAAAUUGGUGCAUUUAUUUCUCUUCUUUAAUGAAAAGUUACAGCAGCUAAUUUUCAUAUACUGUUCAAUUCGAGUGAUUAUUAUUGGAUUUUUUUGCAAAGCCUUUCGUUUUUUUUUUUUUUUUUUGUUGUCUAUUAAUAUAAAAGCCCUUUCUAUUAUUGGCUUGUUGGGGCGUGUGCGGUGAUUUGGGAUGUUUGGGGGGAGAGCAAUGAUUGGGUGUUUCGUGGUAGGGCAAGGGAUCAUAGUGAGGUUUGGUCUUGAUUACGUUCAUGUCAAGGUCUUUGGCCUUUCAUUUUCUCUCAAUGAAAGUAGUUUUUAUCCCAAAAAAAAGUCUUGCUUCCUUUUCGCUUUCAGUGAAAUUGUUUUUUAUUAAAAAAUUUAAAAAGUACAAAAAUAAAAAAGCACUGAAAAUCACUUUGCAUGUUAUUCAUUUACUUUGAGAGAAUACGAAGUGGAUGCUUUUAUAGCAAAGAUAAAUAAAGCACUGUUCAUCAUUCUUUUAUUGGUUUUGCAUCACACUCAAUGUGCAGAACUUUAUGUCCAAUUAUUCGUUGGAAAGGAAUAAAAGAAUUUUCGGAUGUACAGUAUGAGAUUUGAAGAUGCUUGUUUUAGGAUCUGAUUCUUGUUUUAGGAUCUGAUUCUUAUUGUUGGUAAAAAAAUGUAAAUUAUUUAAACUUUGAUAUUCUUUUAGCACUUGUGAUCUUUUCACUAGCGAAGAGGAGGGAUAAGAGGGGCCACAUAAGUCUGAUAACUUGAUUUAGAAUUGUUGGAAAUUGAGGAUUAGAUGGUCUAGACUUUAUGUAUAAACUUGAUCCAAUGCAUAUGAUAAUAAAAUGACAAUUAUUUGGCAUACAGGUUGCCAUCCCUAUCGUCCCAACAAUUAGGGUUCUUGUUACUUUUACGAAGUUUGAAGAGCUUCAGCCAGUGGAAGAAUUUGCGACUCCUCCUUCGAGUCCAGAACAUUUUCAGGAUGCUAAAGUUAAGGAUUCAGAGGGAUCUUCAUCAUGGAUUCCGUGGAUGAGAGGAAGUCGUGGUGGGCAAUUAAGUGAUGGCGACAGUAAUAAGGAUGAAGUUGAUCCCUUCCACAUACCCCCAGACUAUAUUUGGGUCGAUGCUAAUGAGAAAAAACGGCGGAUGAAGGCAAAGAAAGCCAAGAGUAAAAAGCAUCGAAAGCACACGACUGCUAAAGGUGGAAGUACUGCACCUCAGGUGAGUGAAGCUAUGGAAGAAUAAUUACAUUACAUUGCAGAAUUCUGAUUUGAGUUUCUUAAGCAAUAUGAUGACACAAAUGCUGUUACAUGCAUCAGCAUCUGAUCAUAUUAAUUUCUUUUUCCUUCAAGUCAAUAUGUAGUGUAUGCUGAAAACUUAGGAUGUUUUACCAAUUUUUCUUGAUUAUGGGUGUUGCUGGCAUGUCUUUCUGCCUUUCAUCUCCUCUUUCUUUUGUAAAUGUGUACGCUUUGAUGUUUACUUAAAUAGGGUACCCUUCUGAAAUUGACUACUUUCUUUCCUGUACCAUUUGAUUUAUAACUUUUGAAAACCAUUGUUUUUUUCUCAGUUAAAUUGACACUUGAGCUUUUAGCUUGGCCUGUGUCGCUUUGGUUCCGGAGUAGGUUCAAAAUUGACGAAAACCAAACUGCUUAAAGGGUUAUUCGCAUAAGCUUGGUGGCUAUCUUUUCUAAGGAAAAGAAAGAAAACUUUGGGUUAAUGCCAUAAAAUCUUUGCUUGUAUAAUAUAUGAGUGUAAAGGAAUAUUGUUCUGAACAAGGAAUGGAAUUAGUGUUGAAACGAAGAUAAUGCCAAUGAUUUGGUAUAAUUCCUUUACCGAUCUAAAGUUGGUGUUUUCUCUAAAUGGAUGUCUUUAGACCAAGUAUUUGGGGCUAUUCAACUUUCAUCUUGCAACCAAGUUUUUGUCAUUGGUUCUGUUAGAAGACCAGUUUUUGUUUUAUUCUUCUAUUAACUUUACAAAUUCCUUUUCUUUGUGUUGUCUUGUAUUGAGAUUUAUGGUAACAUUGUAAGAGUUGAUACAUUGUAAUCGUUUGAACAAAUGUCCAAAUGAGAAGUGGGGAGAUUUAACUCUACUUUGUGAAUUCAACUAUGGUGGGCUAGAAAGGCCAAACAAGAAUCGCCAUUUGAAAUUUUUUUGUUUUUUUUUUCAUUCAAUAAAUAUGGGGUGGAACAUUGUACAACUGAUUUGAUCUUUAGGAAUGUACGUUUGUAACAGGUUCAUGAGCUACUCCCACCAUUUGAACUAAAAUUUUAUCUUCAAGUUUAUUUUUUCCUACAAUUGAGACCAUGUUGAAAAAGGAAAAGAAAAAACAAUUUUCUUGUAUAGCUCACUAACAAAGUAUGAUUUUUUCAACUUAUCUUCGCAUUGUAUUAUUAAUUCGCUCGCCUUCUAUUUCAACGGGAAAUUUGACACAUGACACUUUUUUUAUAUUUCAACUGUUUUCUAAUGUCAAUAAUGAAGAUGACAUCUUUUCUUAAGAUACAAUAAUGAAGAUGACAUCUUUUCUUAAGAUACAACCAAGUAUUACUAGGUAAUAAUAAGAGGUUGAAGAGGUCGUGUUCAACACCCACUUUAAGCUUUUUGGUCAUUUUGUUAUUUAACCAUCUGGUGUAAAAAAUAAUAAGAUAAAUGUUUCUUUAAUCAAAUACCUAUUUGGCACAAAAUUUAAAGAUUAAGCUUUUUCAAGUUCAAAAGGAUUAGUUAGACCUGAGACUAAAAUUUAGGGAUAAAACUAAUUGUCUAACCAUAUACUUUUCAUAAUUACAACUAUUUAUUUCCUUGACAAUGCGAAAAACAACAAUAUUUGGUCCGAAGUACGACAGCAAGUCAAACUCAACCCAUGAAGGAAAGAAGCAAUGCCAUCUAGAUUAUACAUAAAAUGAAGAGAGUGUGAAGACCAUAACCCAUUAAAGCCAAUCAUCUUAUACACAAUUAGUUGAGAGAGCUCCUAUAUGUCAGUUGGCCAUGACUUCCCAACUUAACAAAGGAAGAAGCCAACUGCAAGCAUUGUAAUACCCUCGUAUUCUCCCUGCUAUCAGAGAGCCAUCAAUGAACAUCUCUGCUCCGAGACGUCUAGCUAUAAAACUGUUGCAUCUGAUUUAGCCCGUUUUGCGUCCGGAGAAGAGUUGCCUUCAUCCGGUUCAACUUCUUCACCUUCAUGUCCUUUAUGCUUCCUACUUGCAGCAAGCAGACCAUCUUCUCGAGCGUCCUCGGCAUUCUCCGUGCUCAUACCAGCUGCAUCAUGACCUUGUUCUAAGUUUUUGGGUUGGUCAUCAGCACAAGGCAUAUUUUCUAGGAUUGACGAUGAGGUCUUCAGCUUGUUUUCCAUCUUUCUCUGUUGCUCGAACAUCUCCUGUAGAUACUUACCUUGUUCUUCAAUUCUUAACUGCAAAUUCCUUUGAAUCUGUAUAAAUUUACGGAAUAAUAUUCAGAGAACUGAAGUCAUAUUGAUAUAUGAAAUAAAGUUGAGACGUAGGACUAAAUGUGGAACAAAUGAUGCCUAUGUUUAAGAUUAGAAAUCUCUUUUCAUGAUCUUGGGGCUCUCUUCAAAUUAUUGUUCUCUUGUCAAUCAUCAAAGAAAUUAUGUUCUAAAUUCAUAAGCUUAAAAGGAGCGAAAUUGUCUCAAUUGCUAUAAUAUCUUUUCUGCUCAACAAUCAUCAAGAGAGAAUGAAUGUUCCAAUAGGUAUCAAUUAUCAUCAUUUUGUUUUUGAUAACGUUUCUGUUUUAAAAAAUUAUGGUUAUUUACCAACCUAUUUCCUGAUAUACUUCCAAACCACUUUUUACUAUUGACAGUUAACUAAGAGUCUAAAUACAUUUGACUAAGAUUUUAAAUAAAAGAAAGCAUCAAAAGCAAAAUAGUUAUGUUGCCUAUAUAAUCACUACAUCUUGUCUCCGUUUGUAUUUCCAAUAUCGGCUUCUGAAAGAGGGAGUUGAAGCAUAAAUGAGACAUACACAAUGAAGAGGCAAAAAAAGGAAAGAGGCAAAGGUCAGCAAAAUUAUCGGCCAUAUUAAGCUAGUGUGCGAGCCUACUGCGUCCAUAAUGCAUAAAAUUUAGCUUAGCUAGACUUUAUCGGGACUGAAAUGUAAAUGAACCUUAAAAAACAAACAAAACGCAGACCUCAAGUUGUUCGUGGAGCCGCUUCUGAACCUCCAUUUGCAAACGCAAAGCUUCAGUUAUCCCCAUACUCCUACAUUUUAGAUCAGUAAAUUGAACAAAAAAGUUCAGAUCAGAACUAAGACCGUUCCCCAAAAAUAAUAACCAAGGAUUUCAGUAUUUACAAACACAGUAACAUCCACUAAAGCUUGCAUAUUUACGAGGAGAAAAAAAACAGACAAACAAACAAAAAAAAAUUGGUAGCAUACAGUAUGUAAUCAUACGAUGUUAUAUUUUAACUUUCACAGUGAAAUUUCCAAUACAAUCUUGAAUUAACCCGUGAGUUUUUAUCAGCCAAUUCAGCUACAUCUAAAUUUUAACUCCGAACUUAUUGAUUUCAUUCUAAAUCCUAAUUUAAGAUAAAUAAAGAAAGUGCCACAGUUAACUUGCCCGAUACUAGUACUUUUAAGUUGGGUUCGGAUAUUUUAGUGAUAAGGUGAGGGCAUUUUUAAUUGCCUGAUUCACCACUUACUCAAAAGGUGAACUUGAUAAUUUACCCUAUUAUUCUGUGUUUUGAUUACAUCUAAGAAACAAGGAUCACGCGGAAACUAAUUAUAGACGCCUUUUCAGCCUAAUAGCAUCAGGAUGAGGGCUUUCACAAAUUGGUUUCACGGUAAUGAUCUGAAAAUAGUUACUUUAGGAUGCUUCCACUGGUUUAAGACUAGUUACUUUUUCUUCUAAUAUUUUACCGUCACUCUUCCAAGUAUUAUUCUUCAGAGAUAAUACGUUAAAGACAUGAUUAUGAAUUCCUUUCCUUUCUUUCGAACUUUUAUGAUAUUCCAAUACGUUCAAGGUUUCUGCCAAAAUUUUAUCAUUCCCAUUGAACUGAAAAAAAUUAUAUAUGUUCAAGAUUUAUCAAGUAAUGGUCAGUAACAUUGUUGAAUUAGUAUGGAAAGAGAGGGAUUUAAAAGAAAAAGUGAUAACUGCAGAUGAGAAAUGUUGUCUCGUCCCACAGAUAGACAACUAGUACUUUGGUCAAUGGUCAAUGUCUGAGAGAUUCUCACGUUAAAUUUGUACUUAGUGUCAACGAAAUGCAUCUUAGCACAUUAUAGUUCAAGUGAAAUUGUUCAACUAUUAAGCUACUUCAAAAGCACUAAUAUCAGAAAUAGCAUAUUUGAUACGAUCUUUUUCAUUAAAAUUUUGUUUUCGAAAACUAAACUCACAAACAUAUAGAUACCAAUGUUUACUUCGUUCAAUUUAAAACUAACAAAACAUUUAUGGUAGCUCAACUUCAAAAAGAAAAGGCUAAGUUCUUUUCUUUUUUUAUCUUUUUACUUAUUUUAUGAAAAACAGAGACGUAUAUUCACACAAAAUGACCAUAGUACAACCUGAGGGCAAAAGGUAGCUAAGAAAAAGCAAGUUUUUGAAGCUAUAUAUACAUAUACACACACACAUUCUUUCCAAAAUGUAGUUUCAAUCACACCCAUUUUGAACAUUGGAAAACAAAUAAAAAGAUAGGUGAAAAAGCAUGCUUCCUAAAAGUAGAAAAAGGAAAGGAAAAAAAAUCAAACACACUAAAUGUAAUUUAUGAUCAACUCCACCCUCCUACUGUAAAAGUAAAUAAGCAAAAAGAAAAUGCACCGAUACUCCACACACACAAAAACAAUCAAAAGGGGAAAAUACUACUUACGUUUUUAAGUCGAGAGUUUUCAUUUCCUCAAUAUGAUUUAUUUUUUUCCCUGAAGAUCCUGGACAGAGAAAAAAAUUAAUCAACCAUCUAUUAGACUGCUUUUCAUCAAAGGCCCUCAAACGAGAGGAUCAAAAGAAACUCAAAAGAGGCGCCACAUGUUCUUCAUAUGCUAAAAUCCAUUGCCACUUGAUGUAUGAGAUGAUCAAUGAACAUGCAUAUGAAACCAAUUUCUGUAAAACUACAAAGAACUACAGCUUGAUAUUGAUUGGUCAUUGAUGGUCAACAUGGAUUUAAGUACAACAAAGAUAUGACAACGCUGAUAAAGAAAUUAACAAUAACAAAAAGGAGAAAGGAAACAGUCACCACUACCUUCUGAUGACUCCGGUUUAUAUCUGGCGGUUCUAUAUUUCUGACAUUCGAAUGAUAAUAAAGCAAUACAUUAGAAAUAAGCAUGCUGGGUGAAAACCGUAUGAAAAUUGAAAAAUGCAGAGUACCUGUAAGUGGCUUUUCACAUGAUAAAUGGUGAGGCCUUCGACAUUCAUGAGCUUUAAGACACCCUUAGGAGUAGCAUCUGUCCAUUAAACUUUAAAGUCAAUUAUAGAGAAGUAUUUGUUGCUUUUAAGGCGUUCUUAAACAACAGUUCACAUGUAUCAAAGAGAGUAAUUUACUUUCACUGCCACCAAGUUUAUUGACCGCUUCUACAAAUGCCUCAUGAAGCUCUGGAGUCCAUCGCAUCCGAGGUCGGGUUGAUGUUGAGAGUGAAUUAGAAACAGAAUGAAACUCUACUGUAGGUAAAGAGUCAACUUGAUUCGUUUGGUUCGGUGGAGCAUUGAAAUUAGCUGAUGAAGAUUUUAAUACCUGUAAAAUUUACCCAAAAAGGAAAUAAAUCUCAAAAUUUAAAACUCAAACAGAAAUCUAGAGUACAGAAGAACUUCGGGAAAAAACCCUGAUGAUUCAAUGUCAUGUUUUCAACAAAAUAAGGAUUUAAAGAAGAUUGUAAAUGGGUAAAACAAAUAUCCUCGUCACUAACGCCACGUACUAACUGAAGAAAGGACACAUCUAUCGAACAAAUGUUUGCUGAUCUGAUAUGACAUGGUAGAAAAUUAACGAAAAAAAGUGGUAAGACAACAAAAUAGAGUGGCAUGGUAUAUAAAAAAGCUUGGAUAUAUUGCUUCAAAAAGAGGGGACUUUGAACAAUGCCACCUCAUUUUCCCAAGCUAUCACCUCCUUCUACCACUUAUCUACAAUAUCAUGUCUAUUUAGCCAAUUAUAUUUACAAGGACUACAUAGAAUUACAUUUGUAAACAUCCAACUGUAAUUUGAAGUUUAGAAAUAUAAUUGAAACUUUAUAAAGUUUAAGGUUAGUAUACACAAUCAUCAAAGUCUAACAUUCUAAAUUACAAGUUGUGCCUUGCAAUAUUCUGAUGCAUAUGAGAUUCCAUAAAUGUAACAUAUUCUUUAAAUACUCACAGCCAGUAAUUGUAUUAUGAAAGUACAUGUGCCACAAGCGCAAAUGUGGCAGUAUUGGCGAUAAUGCUAUAUUUGCAGCCAAGUAAACAAUAAGGGAUUGUUUGCAAGUUAUAAUAGCUAGAAACACCAACUAUUGUAAUUGGAGCUCAAGCUUGGAGUGAGUUAAACCCACCCACCAACUGCAAGUUGGUGACCUAAACACCCCUAAAACUUAGAGAAAAACAAUAUGGGUACUACAGAACUGGUUUUAAAAGUUUAAACAACAAAUAUAUGUCUUGUACACAACGCAAAUCACUUCAUGGUCAUCAGUCACCAAGCAUGCAUUAAAAACAAGUCCUGCACACAUCGUAUCAAAAAGUCCAAUCAUUCUAGCAUCCAUAACUUCAAAGGGUGUGGACUUUAACUAGAGGCCAAGCUUGCCAAAAAACACUUCAGGAGUUUUGAACUGAACUAUACAUCAGAUUUUCAUCUCAUAAGGCUCAGAUAAUCCUUUCUUUGUUUAAGAAUAUCCUCCCCUCUUCCAUUAAGUCCUAAAAAAUGACUAGAACCAGUUUAAUCACAAUUUCAUUCAUUUUGAAUCUAGAAUCUUCCAAGUCGUUUAGUUUACUUAUUGUCCCUUCCUUCCUUACUUUCCUUUUUUGUUUCUGUAACUUUCAUUACCUUCAGUUCUUCUUUCUUACUUUUGUUUUUUGUUUUUAAAUUCCCUUCCAUCUUUCCUUUUGAACUCCCAUACAUUUUAUAUGUAAGUUUUGACCUUUUUUCUGUUGAGUGAACAUGAGAAUUUUUGCGCAUAAAAAACGAUCUUAAUGUUUAAUGAACCAACCUCAGGUUUAGGAUCUCCUGCAUUAGCAUCAGAAAAAAUUUCACUCCAAUUUGGCUCCAAAGCAUCAUCAACAGAAAUAAAUUGAUCGGCCCAAUCGGGCCAAUCAUUCCUCUUCGCUUGGUCAUCCGACAUUAGGACACUGGCCACGUUUUGAUCUUGACCAUUCUGGUCAGGAAUGUUCUCAGAAAAAUCAAGUAAAUCCUGAAGUGUAUCUGUACUCCAAGAUGCACUGUUUUCAUUCAAGUUACCAGUCACCAUUGUGGAUUGUACUUCUGAAUGGGAAGAACCAUGAGAAGGCAACAACGACCCGUCAUUAGCAGACCGAGAAAUAAACGGAGAAAACUGGGCAUUUCUCUCUUGAGACAAAGGUUGCAUCAAUGGAAAAUCGUUUCGAAAUCCAGAGGAUGAUGAAAACAAAUGACCAACAGUGCCACUGUUAGAAACUAAUGGAGGGGCCUGUCUGGGGAUUGGAUGCCUCAUGGCUUCACUUUGUGAGGAGCCCUGAAAAGAAAGAGGCAAUUUGGGAUACUUGUCUUCAAAUGGCUUAGAAAGAACUGGAUAAGAUGAUGACAUAACUCCGUAAGCGACCCUCUUGUCACUCUGCAGUAGAGAAAAACAUAUAUCCAUGAAAAGUGAGAAAAAAAACACAACUCAGCUCAGUUACACAGAACUCCAUGACAAAAUCACGAUGGUAUAGAAAUCAUACAAUCAUUAAAAGCUCGUUCUAUAUCUCUACAAUUCAAUCCAAUUUGACAAACAACACAAAACCGAAUCCAGGAGGGUCUCAGUAGGGGUUAAAAACGGGGGGAACUGUUAGAAACACAAAGCAACAAAUAAAAUUUGAACCCAGAGUCGGAAAUUAAGAAAAGAAGAGUCCAAAAUCACAAAAUCAUAAAAGGGGAAAAACAGAAACACUUACCCCAGAGAUCAAAAGCAAGAUCAAAGAGUGAUGCAGGAACCGCAACAACGAAAUCCGAUGCGAGAGUUGGGCGAUGGGGGCAAAGCAAAGCAAAUUGCAAAGGUGGGUUCCGAUGCACUCGAUGGGUUUGAGGUUUUGACGUCAACGAAAUUACACAAAAACAUAGACACAAACACGAACUCCUCUCUGAGAGAGAAACGUACUGGGGUGUCUCUCUCUUACAUGAUGAUGAACAAAUUCACAAAUCCAAUUUCAACCCUCUGAUUGCUCAUGGGUGUUGAUUCAACACCGCUGAUUCCUCAUGCAAUUUCCCGAUGCACACAAAUGAUUGGGCAAAAGAAUUUUUUGAAAAAGAAAAUUGGCCUAUGCCAAUUGCGUAUUGCCUAUUGCAAAUUGCCACACUUCCAUUUGGCUUAUUGGAUAAUGAACGGCCAAUUCAUAGGAAAUGCUUCAACCCAAAACUCAACCAUCGAUCCAACCCAACCCAAUUAUUCCGGUUCGUUUAUCCAUUUUUUAAUUAUUUAUUGGCUUAAAUAUAAAUUUGAGUCAUUCAACUUUUUGUAAUUUCUCGAAGAAAGAAAACAAAAAAAUCCAAAUUGUGUUUAGUGGUUUUUUUUUCUUUAUUAGUUUUUAAAAAAAACUAGAAAUAGAGUAUAGAUAUAUUCACGGUUUGGUUUGGUUCACAUUUUGAUUUUUCAAAUAUUCACCUAAGAAUAAAAUUUUUAAAGAAUAUUUAUAACAGAUUUGGUAGCAAAUUUGAUUUUUUGUUUGUUUUAAAUUUUGGUUAAAACUUAUCAUUGAAAAAUUACAAAUAAAUUAUUUAUAAUACACGUUUGUAGAUUGAAAUUUUUUAUAUAUUUUAUUCCUUUCAAAUUUUUUUAUCUCUAAUAUUUUAUUUUAUUUUAUUUUUCGAAUUGUUAUUUGGUUCCAAAUAUACAAUGUCUUUUAAAAAAUAAUCAAAUUGUUAUUUUGUUGUUUAAACCAUCAUCCAAAUUUAAACACCAAGUAAUCUUUUAAAAAAUCGUUUAGAUUUAUAUUUAAUCGUUUAUAUUUGACUUCCCAAAUCCUAAACGAUCGUUUCCUAAUACUAAACUAAGGUUUUUUAAAUAUAUUGUGUGCCUCGAAUGACAAUUAAUCGAUGCAUUUUUGAAAUUUUCUAUUGUGGACUUUUUUCGUUUUCGAAAUUGUAUAUAUUUUGCCGUUGUGUUCUAUUUUUUAAAAGACCCCAUAAAUUAGGUUAAUUUUCAUAAAUAUAAUAAACUGGUAAAAUAUUUACCGUCCGUCUAAUAAAAUGAAAAACCAUAUGAAAUUGGUUAUUUUUUAAAAAUAUUCCAAGUUUGUCAUUCUUUUUUAUCGUCUUUUUUUCUCUUCCUCUACAAUUUUUUUAAAUAUUUUCGUUUGCCCGUUCUUUGCAUCUUCUUUUUUUUGUAAUUUUUCUUUUCCUUUUCAUCGUCUUUUUCUCUUCUUCUACAAUUUUUUAAUAUUUUUUCAAACGAUUAUUUGGUUGUUUAAAAUAGUGUGCCAAAUAUAAAAAAUAGUGGAAAAAAAAUCAUCGAGAUAUUAGAGGGCCAAAUCUAAACGAUAGUGUACCAAAAAUAUCUAAAUCUAAACUUGUGUUACAAAUAUAAGCAAUGAAAUAAUCGUGUACCAAAUAUAAACAAUCGUGUGCCAAAUCUAAAUAAUCUUAUAAAGAAAAUCUUGAAAAAAAUCGUUUAGAUUUGGCUACCAACGAUCGUGUGCUAAAUAUAAACCAUCUUGUGUCAAAUUUAAACAAAUGUGUAAAAAAAAAACCGUUUAGAUUUUGCUACCCAAAUUUAAACUAUUAAAUAUAAACGAUCGUCUACCAAAGAAAAAAUCCUGAAGAAAAAUCGUUUAAAUUUGGGUAGUCAAAUUCGAUCAAAUCUAAACGAACGUUGGAUACGACUCUCCCCCUUAUACUAUCUCAAUUAAGGCUUUUACUUUUCUUUUACUUCUCUUUUACUUCUUUUACAUUGCAAUUAUGCGAAGGUAUCAAUAAAAUAGAAACACUAUCCCUCCAAUACCAAGAAAAACCUAAAAGAUAAAUAAGAUUUCAAUCUGAUUUUCACUGAGAUUUCCAUAAACUAUAGGCACCCAUUUAUGAUAGGGUGAACCAAAUAGGAUACAACAAACUUCCCUAAAUUGUAAGUGAAGAUAUAACAUGAUAUACAAAAGAUUUAAGAAUUGAGGAAUCUAAAUAAAUCUGAGUAAAUUUUCAAAAGUCUAACACAACGCAUCUGUGAGACAAAUUAAACCACGCUUAAAAUUUUAACUUGGUUCUCCACAUAUCUCCUACCACUGCUCUCGGCUGUGGGUUAUCAGGUCCUCGGUCCCGCUGCCCUGAGGUGAAGUACAAGUAUCCAUCCCAAAAACCAGCUAGCGUCGUUUUUAUGCGGUAAGGGAGCUUUCCAAUUACUGACCAAGUCUGCAUUUGUCAGGGAACCAAAAACACAAGAUCAACACAAAUAUAAUGGUUGGUUUAAAGAAAGGGUUUUGUUCAAAGAUUAGAGAGAUAUGUUCAUACAAAUGAAUCCAAAUCAAAUCGGAAGACCUCCCCAACCAAGAUCAUUCGUUUGGUAAUUGGGUGUUUUUCUGUUGUACCGCCGGUGAUGAUAAUAGAAUUAUUGACAACAACCCAAGCAAACUCAAUAUGAGAAUCGGGCUUUGGCAUAGGGCUUAAUGUUUUCCAUUUCUUUUCAUUAUCCAGCAUGUAGACAUCACCAUAAACAACCUGAAAACAUGAAAAAGUAGAUUCAACAAAGGAUGGUUCGAGAGGAGUCAAAUAAAUCUCUUCUGUGGAUAGAUCGUUCUGAAGUUCCAAGACUCGAUAAUACUUCUUCUUGGUGUUCUCUUUCUGAGCUUUUUGUUUGAAUUGUGGGACAUUUAUCUUUCAGUUUAAGCCUUGCUUAUCUUGUAUUUUUUAUCUUUUAUGUUUUCUUUUCAAAUUUUUCGUUUCUUUUUUUUUUUUCUUUUUUUGUAUUUUGAGCCUUAGUCUCUUUUCAUUGUAUCAAUGAAAUGUUAUGUUUCGUCUUAGAAAAACAAAAAACAAACAAACAAAAACAAAACAAAGGAUGAACAAAACCUAUUGUGAUGCUAGGUGAACAAAGGGUGAACAUUGAAAGAAAUGUGAGGAAUAUCUGCCUUUCGGGAUAAUGUAAAAUAUGACCUACACAUGCAUUUAAUAUGAUGAGCCAGUUUAUCACUCUUGAGCUAACAUCGAAAAAUACCUCAUGCCUACGGGAGCACUUAAAAAUAGGCGAACCAGGUUUUGCCAUGAAGUCACCUUCUUGACCACCGAUAACAAAAAGCCGAUCAUCGACCACGAUACAGGCCCUGGAGAAUGUCAAGUUGAAAUAUUGGAUACACUACUUGAACUGUUUUCAAAUAUUUGGAUUGUCUAGAACAUCCUUAUUCCAUUCAUUAUGGAUUACAACUCUAAAUGACUAGUUAUGGAAUUUUAAUUAAAAAAAGAAUAGUGUCCAAGACCUGUGUGGUCCUCCACGAGGUAUGGGUACUUCAGUCCGCCACUUCUUCUCCAGUACUUUUCCAUCUUUUACAGCAAUGCUCCAGUGCUCCAAUCCAGGUGUGUGGCGAUUCUCCUUGCUGCCACCCAUCACAUGAAGUCUUCCUCUCCAUAAUUGUGUUGCUGGAGCAUAUCUGAAAACUGUUGUGUUAAAAAACCCUUUAACUAGAAAUGACAGAAAAUUUCUUUUCUAUCUUAAAGUUCCCGUUACAAAAAUAUUUUUGUACGUUCAGAUAAAGCUCUGAGAUCAAGAAUCAAUUGUGGUGGCAACUGAUAGUACAUAAACUCUUUCAUUUCAGGAUCUAGCAAAGUCCAGUUAUUUUGAUUUGCCAUCUCAAGUUGUUUUCAAUUAAUUCUACGAUUUCUACUCUUUCAAAUACGCAUUUAAACAAGCAAAAGGUUCAAUAGCAAUUUAUUAGAUACCCAACCUCCUAAAUAGUUAAUCAACUCUUUGCUCAUUUGUUUGCACUUAAUCUUUCUUCCUACAUUUAAGUUUACGAUCCUAGAUCGCCAAAAUCAACUUGUGAAGCCCAUCUUUACACAAUGAUAUGAUGUAUAAUCAAACUUUUAGGAAACAGAAACCUACAAAACAAGUCUUUAUAAUCAAUUUAUUUGCACGAACUAACACUUCAUGAUCCAAAUUGGAUAGGGACAGGCUUUUGAUUAGGAUGUGAUAAUUAGAUCACAUUGUGCAUAAAAGAUUUUUUUUUUUAUAUUUGUGAGUGCCCAGACCAGCUGACACGUAUCUCGACUAAUAUCACGGGACAACAUAAAAUAUGCAUAAAGAUACAAUCACAAAGCAAGGAACUAACCAAGAGAAACCACCAAACAAUUAAGCGGAUCAAACAGAAUACGGUUUCAGAAAACCUACGUGGACAACAAUAGUUGGCAAUAAAUGUUUUGCACGGUAAGAGCAUAUAACCUUUAUAGGAAUAACAAGACGGUUUACAU